AGCGAACGCUGGCGGCGUGCCUAACACAUGCAAGUCGAGCGCGGGCAUUUCGGGGGUAACCCCGGGAUGUGCUGAGCGGCGGACGAGUGAGUAAUACGUGGACAACCUGCCUUAAAGCUUGGGAUAACUCCGGGAAACUGGAGCUAAUACCGGAUAAGACCACGGUGUCUAUGGAUGCUGAGGUAAAAGGCGGCCAGGAAACUGGCUGUUGCUUAAAGAUGGGGUCCACGUCCCAUCAGGUAGUUGGUGAGGU
rnacentral:rRNA from 1 species